CCCUCCCAGGAGCAGAGUGCGCACAGGGAGCUCGGGCUGCUAAAUGCUCCGGCUUCAGAGGGACGAUGGUGGAGGGCUGGUAAAGAUGGCGGCUCUCUCCGAGGAUGGGAGGUACGGAUUAAAUUGUGGCCAACAGGGCGCCGAAAGAGUCUCCGUACUACACGUCAAGUUGACCGAGACGGCGUUGAAAGCGAUAGAAAACUACCAAACCAGUGCGAAUGUACCAUCUUUACGGCCAACAGUACAAUUCAAGGGACUCCAAGGGCACAUUAAAAUUCCCAGGACCAACUCCUCGGACACCUUUCAUAAUUUUGAUUUCUACCUGUCUAACGUGGGCAAGGACAACCCUCAGGGAAGCUUUGAGUGCAUCCACCAGUAUGUGUCGAGCAAAGGGGCCUCACACCUGGCUUUGUUGGCAACCGUUCAGGACAAAGUCACAGUGUGCGCCACCAGUGACUCUUACCAAGUGACCCGGGAACGCAUGACCCAGGCCGCGGAGGACACGCGGGAACGGGGGACCAAAGUCAUAAAGCCUGGGGGUCAGUACCGAGGAAAGCAGGUGCACACUCGUAAGCCAGCGUUAUCGGCCCCAGAUGUAGUCCCAGAGCGCAAACGCUCCACACCUAUCAAUCCAGCCAACACUAUACGCAAGUGCCUUUCCAAUAAUCCUGUAUCUCAGAGGCCCCUCCGGGACCGCAUCAUUCACCUGCUGGCGCUGAAAUCAUACAAGAAGCUGGAGGUGCUCGGCCGUUUGCAGCGGGACGGGAUCACCCAGAAGGGCCGAAACUCACUGGGGACCACUUUGCAACAAGUGGCAAACCUGAAUCCCAAAGACAACACAUACUCAUUGAAGGAGUUUAUAUAUCGUGAUGUUCAGCGAGACUGGCCUGGCUAUUCUGAGGAUGAGAAGAUUCAAGUUGACCGGAUUCUAGCUCGCAAAUUAGGUCUUCCUACUGAGAGAGUCUCAUCAAACACUUCACCUAAAGACUGUUUCCCUUCAUCCCCCCAGAAGCGCCAGCCAGACUUCGACUUCAUCGAUCCGUUGGCUCCCAAGAAAGCCCGCAUCUCUCACCUCAGCAGUCGAGGUCCAGCUGCAUCUUCCUCUGACCGCCGCGAGGACGAGAGCAGCCCCAGCUCCAAACACUCAUCCCUGCCCCCCAACGUCUCCUCGGGGCCUCCCAGCCAUCUCCCCGUAUCCUCUCACCCACCAGCGCCCUCACAUCGGCAGCUCAGCCCAGCCUCCAACUCCCCCAGCACCCCAGAAGGCUGCGGCACUCAGGACCUGCCAAUGGACCAGAGUUCUUCCUGCAGAGACCCUUCACCCAGCCCUUUUUCCCGCUCCCUGCAGGACCGCUGUCAACACCCUGUCCCCAGAGCAGCCGCCUCUCCCAGCCUGCCCCCCUGCACCUCGUCUAGUGGUACAAGUAAGAAAUUCAAGAAGAAAUCCAAGAAGCACAAAGACAAGGAUCGUGAGAAGGACAAAGGGAAACAAACACAAAAGGCCUGCAGUAGUCCUCCAGUUGUGGCACAGCAGACUGAGGAGAGGCAUACAGUCAAAAAGAGGCGCAGCGUUGAGGAGGUCAUCGAGGAAGCUGUUGAGAAAAAUUCUUACAGAGAUCAUGUCAAAGAGAAACCAGUCCAGUCCUCUGAAUCUUCUUCUAAAACGGAGAUGCCUGACUAUGUAGUGAAGUACACACCGCUGGUGUCUGUGGACCAGAGGCAGAGCUACAAAGACGACUUCAACGGAGAAUAUGACGAGUAUCGUCAGCUGCACGCCCGUGUAGAGAGCAUCACCAGGCGCUUCACUCAGCUCGAUGCUCUGUGUCGGAAGUUGGUUCCUGGCACCAAGGAGCACCAGAAGGUGCAAGAAGAGGUCUUGAAAGAGUACAAAAAGAUGAAACAAUACAUUUCUCUAGAUCUUAAACCCAAGCUUCAACCAGCAAGCUGUAAAUCAGGGGUACCCAACUCCAGUCCUAGAGAGCUACUUCAGCUUGUCGAUGCUUCCCUUUCUGACGCACCAAAUGAGCGGCUCGUUACCAGGCCUCUGCAAGCGGAAUGAUUGAAUACUGAUGAGGGAAUUCAGCCAUAUGAUUCAGGAAUGUUGCAGAAGGGAUGCAUCUAAAUGUUGCAUCAUAGUAGCUCUCAAGCACAACCCCAACUACCAUGAAGAGAAACAGCGCUGUGAAUACCUGCACAACAAACUAGCCCACAUCAAGCGGCUAAUAGCUGAUUUUGACCAGCGCAGAGCGCAGUCCUGGUGCUGAGAAGCCAGCAUCGAUCAUCUUCACUGAUCAGUAUUCUGAGCGGCGUGUCAAGCCAGGGUGGGAGUGACCAACCCGCUCUUAUGUAUUUAACACCUCUUCAUUUCCUGCCCCUGUAUCCUUCUCUCUUUUCCUAUUCCUGUUAUCCUUCAUUCCCUCCUUGUUUACUUUGAUUCCACAGGCGAAUUUAUUGCCUGCAAUAUUGAAACCCCCCCCUUUCCCUCCAUGAAUUUGCUCCUGUGGAAAUUGAUACCACUGGACCAGGAGAAAGGAGCUGCCUGCUUAUGCAUCGACGUGUGAAAACUUCAGCUCUAACUUGUGAAGGACUCUCUUCAGACAAAAGUAUUUUUGAGUAUAGAGAGAAAAUAUUAACUUGUAUUUAAGUAAAAAGAAGAAAAAAGAGGGAGAUCUAUUUAUUUUGAGACUCAUAUUGAAAACAAGAGUUAUUAGAUUGUUUCUUUUUUUUUUUUUCAUGAGCGUUGCUAAAAGGAGGAAAAAAAGUAUACCACAGGCCUUAUGUGUUAAAUUUGUGAAGCCAUUUUUGCACACAAGAUCCCCGCUUCUCAUUUAGCGAGCAUUUCCCUGCUGCCUCAUGUCCGCUCUUUUCAAGGCAAACUGUACUGGAAAACCUGCUGCCGAAGCUGAGGGGAAAGGAAAGGAAAGGAAAUGAGGCAGCGAGGAGGAACCACAUGAGCUUAAUGAGAAGCAGCAGAAUGUGUGCAUGGGUGGUGAAUAAUUAGUUGUAAGAGGGGGAGUGAGGUUGGGGAAACCAAAGGAUUAUGGUCCUGUGACCCCUGUGGCUGGGGGCGGUAUUUUUGCACCAAAUAAAAUUCACCAUGCCUUACGGCGUUUACAUCUGGGAAAGUGGAGCCGGGUCCACACACUAUGCAAAGGAACUAGAACUGCCUGAGAACGUGUGUGUGUGUGUGUGAGAGUGUGUGAUGAUGGGAAGGGAUGUGGAGUCUGGAAUGAUUGUGUAAGUUGUGUGAGCGCAUGGUCAUUGCCUCUGGGAAUGACGUGGAGAAAAAGUUAGAAACGUGAAAAACGCCCCCAAAAAAAAGCUGCUAUAGUCUUUUUACCAGCUGGUGCACUCAGGAUCAUCCUGGCUGGAGAGACAGUAUCUGAUCCUAGAAGAGGAGAUACAAAACAUCCUUUUCCUUUUUUUUUUUUUCUUUUUUUUUUUAUCCCCUCCCCCCACAGCGUUUCCUUUCUCAACCCUGGAAAGGAUCGCCUCCACCUCUUAUUUAUCCAGCGGCAAACAGUCUACAUUUCAGGUUUCGAAAGUAGCCGCCUCAUCCAACAAAGGACCCAUCUUUUUCUCGGGGUUCCUCGUCUUUAAUUGUUGGUUUAAAAAGAUUUCAGUUUCGUAAAUUCCUCUGUGCUGAUGCAGAUUUGUGUUAAUGGCUGGCUUCUGUUCUGUUUUUAUUUCAACAAGGGAAAAUGUUUACAAACUUGUUAGAAUGUUUGCCAAAGAUUAAACGCGUUUCUGGUACUGCUUCUUCCACGGAGUAAAAUUUCUGAUAGAAGAAAAAGUUAGGGACAAUGCCUGUUUAUGUGGACUAGUUAAAGUUUGCCCCGUACUUGUGAAUAAUUCCCCCCUAAAACAGAUCUACUAAUUGAUUAAAUAUUUUGGGCUGUGACAUGCUGCCUUGAUAGUCGGUCUCUGCAGCAGACUGACUGUUGAGGUUUGCUGAAGCUCUAACUUGUUUCUCCUUUCUGGUUAUUUUUGACAGAAUAUUGAUAUGUUUGGGUGGGGGUGUCACAACAUCCCACAGAGAUUUGGAUCCCAGCAUAAAUUUAAUUUAUUAAGGGUGAAUUCCUUGAGUUUACAGCAUGCUGUUAUUUUUAUUUUAUUUUUUCCUGAAGUCUUGAAGGCGUUGUCCCGUCACCUGUGUCCUCCUCAGCAUUCCAAGGGUUUCUGUCCUAAUCAGAAAUUUUCUUGCGUUUGGUUAGAACAACUUGGGAUGGCACAAUGUGACUUAAUGUAAUAAAGGGGUUUAAUCAGUCUUAAUGAGCAAAAUAAGAAAAGAUGCCUGAGUAAAAUGAGAAUUUGCAGGGAAUCCAGGAAAUUUGGACUGAAAUGUCAUCUUGCCCUCAUGAAAAUGUACAAGACGUUUCAAUAAAAAUGAACUUCUUUUACCUGGAAA